AUUGAACGCUGGCGGCAGGCCUAACACAUGCAAGUCGAACGGUAACAGGAAGCAGCUUGCUGCUUUGCUGACGAGUGGCGGACGGGUGAGUAAUGUCUGGGAAACUGCCCGAUGGAGGGGGAUAACUACUGGAAACGGUAGCUAAUACCGCAUAACGUCGCAAGACCAAAGAGGGGGACCUUAGGGCCUCUUGCCAUCGGAUGUGCCCAGAUGGGAUUAGCUAGUAGGUGGGGUAACGGCUCACCUAGGCGACGAUCCCUAGCUGGUCUGAGAGGAUGACCAGCCACACUGGAACUGAGACACGGUCCAGACUCCUACGGGAGGCAGCAGUGGGGAAUAUUGCACAAUGGGCGCAAGCCUGAUGCAGCCAUGCCGCGUGUAUGAAGGAGGCCUUCGGGUUGUAAAGUACUUUCAGCGGGGAGGAAGGGAGUAAAGUUAAUACCUUUGCUCAUUGACGUUACCCGCAGAAGAAGCACCGGCUAACUCCGUG
rnacentral:rRNA from 1 species